rnacentral:rRNA from 1 species
GAUGAACGCUAGCUACAGGCUUAACACAUGCAAGUCGCAGGACUGGCGCGCGGGUGCUUAACGCGUAUCCAACCUUCCCAUAACUACGGGAUAACCCGUUGCAAGACGGCCUAAUACCGUAUGGUUUUGGUUGGGGUUGCGUGUGAUUAGCUUGUUGGCGGGGUAACGGCCCACCAAGGCGACGAUCAGUAGGGGUGCUGAGAGGAAGGGCCCCCGAAUUGGAACUGGGACCCGGUCUAAACUCCGACGGGGGGGAGCAGUGAGUAAUAUUGGUGAAUGGGCGAGAGCCUGAACCAGCCAAGUAGCGGGAAGGAGGACGGCCUAUGGGUUGUAAACUGCUUUUAUGUGGGGAUAGGUACCACAUGAAUAAGGACCGGCUAAUUCCGUGCCAGCCGCCGCGGUAAUAC